UGCGACAUUAGUCGAUUCCGGAAGAAGUCGAUUCCGACGACGGAGCAGAAGAAGUCGAUUCCGGCGGACGGAGCAGAAGAAGUCUGCGGCACCUUGCGAAUCAUCUUUGGCAUAAGAAGUAACUAUAUGCAGUACUACUCAUUUGCAGAUAACAUGGCACCUAGCAAUUUGAUUACUGCAUUAACACCAAAGAACGAUAGGUGGAGAAUCAAAGUAAAAGUUAUUAGGCUAUGGGAUGCGGUUAAUCCUACAAUGGUUGAUGAGUUCUAUGGUAUACAGAUGAUUGUACUAGAUGCAGAGGGCAACUCAAUACAUGUCUCUAUCUCAAAGCAAUUGGCGAACCACUUCAGGCCAAAAAUUAAGAUUAACUCAAUAUAUACUUUUAAAAAUUUCAAAGUUAUGGAACAUGAUAAAUACCGUGUCCUAAAAAACAAUCUGAAAAUCCUUUUUUAUCAUGAUACCAUAGUAAAAGAGACCUGUUUGUAUUUAGAUGUGAUUGGCUUACUUAGCGGGAUGAAGCCGAUCGAGCAAAGAAUGCUAGGAAAAAACACAAGCAGGGAGAGGGUUUGCAACAUGCGUGAAAUUGAACUCCUUUUAUUAGAGGGAGAAAAAGUUAAAAUUACUCUAUGGGGAGAUAUUUUAGCAAAUAUGGUUGACGACGAUUUGCUUGGGAAGCAAACUGUGUUCAUCGCCACUGGACUUCUGGUUAAAGAAUAUGAAAAAUUAUUAUCAUUUGGAGUAACAAGUUCAACAGAAGUUUUUUUGGAUAUGGAAAUUCCUGCAAGCAUGGAAAUAUUGAGCAGGCAUAAUGCUGAAAAGGUUUUGCCCACAAUGAUUGAAGUGGACGCAAGCACUCAAGGAACCAUUGAAGAGCAAAUGUUCUACAAUAGAAAGACAUUGAAAGAAAUAACAGAAUUGCGAUAUAGUAAUAUACAACAGAAGGAAUUUAUAUGCACAGUCAAAGCUAAAAUUGAGGAGAUUAAAUCAAGAAAUUGGUGGUAUAUGUCUUGCGAUAAGUGCUUUUGUGGAACAAGAAAGGAAUCAAAUGUAUACAUUUGCAAUUCAUGCGGAAAGGAAGCAGUGAACCCAAAACCACGGUAUGUAAUAAACCUUGAGAUAAGUGACCACACUACUAGGACGACAUGUACAAUAUUUAAUGAGGAAGCAGAAAGAAUAUUUGGUCAUAAGUCUGUGUCCACCAUGCUGGAGGAACAAAAUGGACAAAUUGAUAUGAUUCCUGAUACAAUACGUCAGAUAUGUGGAAGAAUAUUGAUAUUCAGAUUGAAGUUGACUAAAAGGAAUUUAGAAGAGUGUAAGGAAGACUACAAAGUGAACUACACUUUUACACCUAAUGAAAAGCUUGAGAUGAAUUAUGUAAAUGACAAGGCAGAAGAGUUUGGGCAGCACAAUUUUCAGGUAAAAGAAGAGCCAAAAAAUGAAAGUAGUGAUGAUUAUGAAAUGAACAAUCAUCGCAAAACAAAGAAAGAGAGAUCAAACAUGAGAUCUACAAAAAGAUCAAACAAGGAACCAUACAUUACCGAUUCUGAUGGGAAAACAAAUGAAAAGGCAAUCACAAUCGAUGAUGAUUCCGAAGAAUCACUUGAUGAUUAUUUUGAUGAAGAAUACAAUAAAAAGGUUACCCAGGAGAGUACGAAGACAAAUCCUUCUAAAAGAAGAGUUACAAGACGCUUUAAAAUAGCUAACAAGUCAAUGUUGAAGUGCAAUGAUGAUUAUGGCUUCACUGAUUUGCAAAAAUCAGAAGAUGAGUUUGGGCAGCACAAUUUUCAGGUAAAAGAAGAGCCAAAAAAUGAAAGUAGUGAUGAUUAUGAAAUGAACAAUCAUCGCAAAACAAAGAAAGAGAGAUCAAACAUGAGAUGUACAAAAAGAUCAAACAAGGAACCAUACAUUACCGAUUUUGAUGGGAAAACAAAUGAAAAGGCAAUUACAAUCGAUGAUGAUUGUGAAGAAUCACUUGAUGAUUAUUUUGAUGAAGAAUACAAUGAAAAGGUUACACAGGAGAGUACAAAGACGAAUCCUUCUAAAAGAAGAGUUACAAGACGUUUUAAAACAUCUAACAAGGCUAAGAAAGGAAAAUGUUCUGAAAUGAAAACUCAGAGAAAUAAGGAACCAUAUACUACUGAUUGUGAGAAGAUAGCAAAUGACAAACCAAUUUCGCUUGAUGAUGAUUUUGAUGAAGAAUAUAAUAAAAAUAUGGUAAGGGGAAAAGGUUGUGGAAAGAAGAGUACAAAUAUGGGAACUUGCACAAAAAGUGCAAUUGAAAAUACAAUUCAAGAUGAUGAAGUGCAUGACGGAAAAAUUGCUUCAGGAACUGCUAAAAGACCAUCAAGGAAAUUUAUAAUUUCAGAUAGUGAGGAUGAGCACAGCAGUAAUACAAAGGUGACUGGGGACAGCACCAGCUGUAAUAGUAGUAAGGAAGAUAUAAACAAAGGUCGAUGCAAUUAUAAUAUUGAGAACAUUAAAGUUCACAUGAAUGAGCAGUCCAGUCGAUGCAGAUCAACAAGGAUUAGAAGACCACCCACCCGAUACUCAUAUUAG
rnacentral:lncRNA from 1 species